rnacentral:rRNA from 1 species
GUUUCGGAGAGUUUGAUCCUGGCUCAGAACGAACGCUGGCGGCGUGGAUUAGGCAUGCAAGUCGAACGGUUCUUUGUUAAACCGUAAGGAAUAACGAAGGAGAGUGGCGAAAGGGUGAGUAACACAUGAGCAAUUUACCCACGAGAUGGGGAUAACCCACCGAAAGGUGAGCUAAUACCGGAUAACAUCUUAAUAUGGCAUCAUAUAUAGAUCAAAGGCGGCCUCUGCUUGCAAGCUGUCACUUGUGGAGAAGCUCGUGUCCUAUCAGCUUGUUGGCGGGGUAAUGGCCCACCAAGGCUAAGACGGGUAGCUGGUCUGAGAGGAUGGUCAGCCACACUGGGACUGAGACACUGCCCAGACUCCUACGGGAGGCUGCAGUCGAGAAUCUUUCGCAAUGGGGGAAACCCUGACGA